rnacentral:tRNA from 2 species
GGGCGCGUAGGGGAGCGGCUAACCCGCCUCACUGUCGAUGAGGAGAUCGCGGGUUCGAAUCCCGCCGCGCUCGCCA